rnacentral:rRNA from 1 species
UACGGAGGGUGCGAGCGUUGUUCGGAAUUAUUGGGCGUAAAGCGCGUGUAGGCGGUUUUCUAAGUCUGAUGUGAAAGCCCCGGGCUCAACCUGGGAAGUGCAUUGGAAACUGGGGAACUUGAAUACGGGAGAGGGCAGUGGAAUUGCUAGUGUAGGAGUGAAAUCCGUAGAUAUUAGGAGGAACACCGGUGGCGAAGGCGGCUGCCUGGACCGAUAUUGACGCUGAGACGCGAAAGCGUGGGGAGCAAACAGG